rnacentral:rRNA from 1 species
AUGCAUAGGAAUCUGCCCGGUAGUGGGGGAUAACCUGGGGAAACCCAGGCUAAUACCGCAUACGCCCUACGGGGGAAAGCAGGGGAUCUUCGGACCUUGCGCUAUCGGAUGAGCCUAUGUCGGAUUAGCUAGUUGGUGAGGUAACGGCUCACCAAGGCUGCGAUCCGUAGCUGGUCUGAGAGGAUGAUCAGCCACAUCGGGACUGAGACACGGCCCGAACUCCUACGGGAGGCAGCAGUGGGGAAUAUUGGACAAUGGGCGAAAGCCUGAUCCAGCCAUGCCGCGUGUGUGAAGAAGGCCUUCGGGUUGUAAAGCACUUUCAGUGAGGAAGAAAGCCUUGAGGUUAAUACCCUCGAGGGAGGACAUCACUCACAGAAGAAGCACCGGCUAACUCCGUGCCAGCAGCCGCGGUAAUACGGAGGGUGCGAGCGUUAAUCGGAAUUACUGGGCGUAAAGCGCGCGUAGGCGGCUUGAUAAGCCGGUUGUGAAAGCCCCGGGCUCAACCUGGGAACGGCAUCCGGAACUGUCAGGCUAGAGUGCAGGAGAGGAAGGUAGAAUUCCCGGUGUAGCGGUGAAAUGCGUAGAGAUCGGGAGGAAUACCAGUGGCGAAGGCGGCCUUCUGGACUGACACUGACGCUGAGGUGCGAAAGCGUGGGUAGCAAACAGGAUUAGAUACCCUGGUAGUCCACGCCGUAAACGAUGUCGACUAGCCGUUGGGCUCCUUGAGAGCUUUGUGGCGCAGUUAACGCGAUAAGUCGACCGCCUGGGGAGUACGGCCGCAAGGUUAAAACUCAGAUGAAUUGACGGGGGCC